UUUGAGGCUUACCAUGUUGUUGCUGAUCUGCUGACGCACCUCACUGGUGUGAGGUAGUAGCUAGACCUGCAACUGCUUCACCUUCCCCUUGAUCCUUCUUCAGAUUCUCCAACUCCUGGGACAGACUGAGAAACAUUAAAUCUGGAAAUAUGCUCAUGGCUCCUCAGGCUAGGCUCCAAGGAAUUUUCCUUUUUAAAGCCAUUGGGCCAUGCAGGCUCCCCUGCUUACCCUGAACAAUGUAGCCCCAGGAGAGGACAGAGUGGCCAUGGAGGUGGCAGUGUGGUACCUGGGAAUGUUAGCACGCAAGGGCUUGGAGGUGGCUGCUUGGCCACGUGUGUGUGCAGGCUCUUCCAGACAGCUCAGCCGUCUCAGUGAACUGCUUGCCAAGAGACACAGAGGAUGAAACUGAAAAGCUCAACCAAUAUUUGAGAGGCUGGCAGUACAAUGUAGCAGAUAAGAGCAGGGGCUCUGGAACUCUAUGCCCACAUCCAAAUCCUGACUCUCUCACUUGGUAACUCAUGGAUCUCAGCGAAGUUUUACUUAACCUCUUUGUGCCUCGGUUUUCUGAUCUGCAAAAUGUGGCUAAUAAAUAUAAUAUUCUUUACA
rnacentral:lncRNA from 1 species